CUCGUAGUUGAUUCGUGGUGAUCCCUGGGGUCCGAUUUCGGUACUCUUGGGGAUUGCCAUCCUUGGGUGGAUCCUGUGUGGCAUUAGGUUGUCGUGCGGGGGAUGCCCAUCGUUUACUGUGAAAAAAUUAGAGUGUUCAAAGCAGGCUUAUGCCGUUGAAUAUAUUAGCAUGGAAUAAUAAGAUAGGACCUUGGUACUAUUUUGUUGGUUUGCGCACCGAGGUAAUGAUUAAUAGGGACAGUUGUGGGUAUUCGUAUUCCAUUGUCAGAGGUGAAAUUCUUGGAUUUCUGGAAGACGAACUAAUGCGAAAGCAUUUACCAAGGAUGUUUUCAUUAAUCAAGAACGAAAGUUAGGGGAUCGAAGAUGAUUAGAUACCAUCGUAGUCUUAACCAUAAACUAUGCCGACAAGGGAUUGGCGGGGUCUCGUUACGUCUCCGUCAGCACCUUAUGAAAAAUCACAAGUUUUUGGGUUCCGG
rnacentral:rRNA from 1 species